rnacentral:lncRNA from 10 species
AGCUCACGCUGGUGCUGGCCAUCAUGCUGCAGAGUGGCCGGGCUGAGUACUACCAGUAGACGAGGUCCCACUUUGUUACCCAGGCUGGUCUUGAACUCCUGAGCUCAAGGGUUGGCAUCUGCACAUCCUUCCUGGGCAUCUCGUGGGCACUGCUCGACUACCACCGGGCCUUGCGCACCUGCCUCCCCUCCAAGCCGCUCCUGGGCCUGGGCUCCUCCGUGAUCUACUUCCUGUGGAACCUGCUGCUGCUGUGGCCCCGAGUCCUGGCUGUGGCCCUGUUCUCAGCCCUCUUCCCCAGCUAUGUGGCCCUGCACUU